CAGCCACCUUUAAAAAAGCGUUAAAGCUUAAUUUAAUUUUAUAAAAAAAUACCUCAAAUUAACAUGAACCCUUCACUAUUACUGAAUGAUUUUAUAUAUAUAUAAAAAACACUAUGCUAGAACUAGUAACAAGAAUAUAAUAUUCUCCAAAAUGUAAGCAUAGACCAAAAUGGAUCAUCCAUUGGUAUUUAACGAAAAUGAGUAAUUACAGUAACAUACACAAGAAAACCCUGCAUAUAACAUCGUUAAACUAACACUAGAACAUUUCCGGAAAGAUUAAAAGAAAAAGAAGGAACUCGGCAAAUUCCAACCCCGCCUGUUUACCAAAAACAUCGCCUCUUGUUUAAUAAUAAGAGGUCCAGCCUGCCCAGUGAUAACAUUCAACGGCCGCAGUACCCUAACUGCGCGAAGGUAGCAUAAUCACUUGUUCUUUAAAUAGGGACUAGUAUCAACGGCAUCACGAGGGUUGCACUGUCUCCUUUAUCUAAUCAGUGAAACUGAUCUCCCCAUGAAAAAGCGGGGAUACACCUAUAAGACGAGAAGACCCCAUGGAGCUUUAAACCUACAGCAACUCAACUAUAUAAUUCCACACAACCUUAGAGACAUGCCCGUUGGCUUUAGGUUGGGGUGACCGCGGAGUAAAAGCCACCCUCCGCAACACAAAGAUCUAAAUCUUUAUUCAAGAACUACCACUCUAAAAAUUAGCACACUAAUGUACACCGACCCGAUAAUCGAUUAAUGAACCAAGUUACCCUGGGGAUAACAGCGCAAUCUAUUUCAAGAGUUCAUAUCGACAAAUAGGCUUACGACCUCGAUGUUGGAUCAGGGUAUCCCAGUGGUGUAGCAGCUACUGAAGGUUCGU
rnacentral:rRNA from 1 species